CUGGUCCUCAAUGGGGGCAUGUGCACGCUCUGUUUACAUACCCACUCACACCUGUGCACCCUCUGUAGUUCUGUGGUGUGGGGGGCUCUGUCCUCCCACUGUGGUUCUACGUCUUUACACACACACACACACACACACACAGUGACAAAGUCUCAUAGAAUGUAUGUCGCGUUUAACGCAAUACAAUACAACUUUCAGCAACGGAUCUCUUGGCUCUCGCAUCGAUGAAGAACGCAGCGAAAUGCGAUAAGUAAUGUGAAUUGCAGAAUUCAGUGAAUCAUCGAAUCUUUGAACGCACCUUGCGCCCUUUGGCUAUUCCGAAGGGCAUGCCUGUUUGAGUAUCAUGAACACCUCAACUCUCAUGGUUUGCCAUGAUGAGCUUGGACUUUGGGGGUCUUGCUGGCCUAUGGGUCGGCUCCUCUCAAACAAAUCAGCUUGCCAGUGUUUGGUGGCAUCACAGGUGUGAUAACUAUCUACGCUUGUGGUUUUCCAUCAGGUAACCUUCAGUGAUGGAGGUUCGCUGGGGCUCAUAAAUGUCUCUCCUCAGUGAGGACAGCUU
rnacentral:rRNA from 1 species